rnacentral:tRNA from 1 species
GCGCGGGUGGCGAAAUUGGCAGACGCACUACCUUGAGGUGGUAGCGCCCUCACGGGCGUGGAGGUUCAAGUCCUCUCCCGCGCACCA